CCAAAAUAAUUACAAAAAUUCCCUAUCUUUUAAUUUUCUCUCUUAUUCCUCUUGUACAUCCAAAAUCCUCUUAUACAUCCAAAAAAAAAAAGUAACUUUAUCAUUACUUUAUAUCUCUUUUCCAUAAUUUCUUCCUUCUUUUCUCUCAUUAAACAAUUCUUUACCAUUUACUUUCUCUCUCUUUUCCAUUCAAUUUCUCUCUAUUUUCCAUAUGAAGAACAUUUUUUAAUACUUUUUUUCAUGCUCAAAUUUAAGCAAUCGUAUACUUAGAGGUUACCAAUUUGUCUUAUUCGAAUUCUUGUUUGGUUGCAGAUGUUGUUGAAGAAGAUCAUUCAAAAAGUGCUGGUUUGAUCCAAAAAAGAAGAAGAAAGAAGUGUGGUCUUUGUUUGUCUUAAAAUAUAUUUCAAGACUUACAAAAGAAGAAAAUAAGGAUUUGAAAAGUCUUGUUACCCAAAAGGGGGGACAAAGACUUUCAAAAGAGCCAACAACCUUUCUAAAAAGGUGAAAGCAAGUCACAUUUUGUUGAAAUUGAAAAAUAGGAUCCAAGGCUUGUGAACUUAGAAUAUGAUAUCAUACAUGUAAAAGAAUUUAUCAUACAUGUGAAUCAAUUUAUAAUUAUGUUGUC